CGUACAUACGACGCGCGUGCUCACGUAUCAUGUACUUGGUGUUCAAUUUGUAAAUGUGUUACGUAGUAUAUAUACAUGGCGUGCAAGUGGUAUAUAUAUAUACAUAUAUAUAUAUGUAUAUAUAUAUAUACAUAUCAUAUAUAUAAAGUCGAAGUCUCAAGAUCGAAAAAAAAAAAAAAAAAAAAAAAGAAGAAAAACAUGAAAACUCUGUCCUCUCCCGCUCUUUCUCUCGUCGAACAACAACAUCGAGUACCAAAUACAAGUUUAAACUAGUUUCAAUCUACGUUUAAAAUUCUCGCGAAUGGCAGAGAGCAGAGAAAAGUCGCGAUCUCUCUCACUCCUGGAUUUAAACAAGAACAGACAUUCUCGUGUUGUAACCUUCUGUCUGUCUCCGCUAGAAAAGAAAGCGGACGGUGGAGGAAGAAUUCGUAAGGCUUUUCAAAAGAAAGAGAUUCGCAUGUACCUGCUGCUGAAUGAAGGGGAUGACUAAAAAAAUCCCCCCGAUCAUUCACGGGAAAGAAGCAUCGCACUAAACGCGCCUACGUGACACAGAUCGACGACAUCGACGAGAUACGUAUCUCAAGUAACGUCGCAAUAUUUAAAAAAAACCGAUCGACGAAUGGUACCUUUUCCUCUUUUUCUUUUUCUUUAUUUACCCCUUCCCUUUCUCUCUGCCUUUUUUUCUUUUAUCCUUUUCAGAUCUUCCGGAAGAGAAACAAAUAUUGACCAAAGCGAAUUCGUGAGAGGACGGAGCCUCGACGUGUGUAUGUAUGUAUAUAUGUGUAUAUCGCGUCGGGAAGGAGAAGAUACAUGUGUAUCGUCUCUCAUACGUUACGUAUAUGCGUCUCGAUUGUGUGUAGUAAGAGCACCGAUAUAGUAAUACAGUAGAGUAGUGUAGACUAGUAGUAGAGUAGAAUAGUAGUAGUAGUAGUAGUAGUAGUAGUAAUAGUACUAAUGUAGUGGUAGUAGCAGUAUUGGUAAUAAUGUAUAAUAGCAAUAGCGACAGUCGUGUGAAAAUUACGUCUGUUUCGUCAUUGAAUAAAAAAUGUGGAGGCAAACCUUUGGAUUAGAGUCUCGGCCACGGAAACACUCUCUAAUGCCAUUGUUUUGUCCCGAUCGAUCGUGUUUUGUACCAUACGAUAUACCACUGUGGCCCGAAGUUGAUCAUUCGAUCGAUAGACGCGACCACACACGACGGAUCUUUGCUCGUGGAUUCGCGUGCCUGUAUGUGAUCAUUUGAGACUUUGAAAAUAACUUGAUAAUGGGCAAAUAAACUCAAAGGAAGGCCCGAUUGUCCGUUUCUAUCUCUCUCUAUCUCUCUUUCUCCCUCUCUUUCGCUAGUCCUCUCUCUUUCUCUCUCUCUUUCUAUCUCCCUCUAUAUCUGUCGGUAUCUAUUACAUACUCGCGUGAGCGCAUCCCCACGGACAAAGAUAUUAAAAAUUUUUGGAAAAAAAAAAAGAAAAAAAAAAAUAUUCUUAGCCUCUUUCUCCCAGCCCGAAUUUAUGUCUGCUCUUAGAACGGGCCUCGUUCACCGAACGCUUCUGUAUCUCUCUCCUCUCUCUUUCUCUUUCUCUCACACAGAGAGAAAGCUAAGCUCGAUUAAUCGUAUAUAUCUCUCUAGAAGCUUUUUGAAAUUCUUUAGAAUCGAUAUCGCACUUAAAUUUGAUAAGACAUAUUCACUGUGAUAUCUCCCUAUCUGUCUCUCUCUUUCUCUCUCUCGUGGUUAAUUAAAUAGAAGAGAAGAAAAUGGCGCGUUAUUUGUCAUGCCACAGAGCGACGUCAUUCUUGCUGACGUGGCAUAUGGAACGAUCAUUAUCCGUUUUGGACUUUUCCGUUUAUGUAUCUCUACUACGCGUGACAAAUAAUUUCGAUUUAAACGAAUAUCAUGGGAUGCGACAGUAUAUAGAAAGACGGUUAAUUUCAAACAUGAAAACGUAUAUCGAGAGAGUAGUUAUUUCAACGCGUUCAAGUCUUUCUUUCUCUUCUCUCUUUCUCUCUCUUUGUGUUGGUAAGAGAAGAGAUAAUGAACGUUUGUGUGAACGAGACUAGUGACCGUAGACAGGCAGACAGGCAGGCGGACAGGCGGGCAGGCAGACAGGCAGACAGGC